rfam:Octopus bimaculoides Scaffold16581_contig_486, whole genome shotgun sequence.
ACCCGGCUAGCUCAGCCGGUAAAGUGUGAGACUAUUAAUCUCGAGGUUGUGGGUUCGAUCCCAACGUCGGGUG